UUGGAAUACUGAUGUUUUUAAAGUUAUUUAAUUUAAUUAAUUAAUUAACAUUUCUGAAUAACUCAAGUCGUGAGCUAAUUACGAAUUUAUUUCUUUAUUUUUCUCACGACUAGCAGCGGGAUGUUUUUUUUUUUCUUGGUUUCCCGCGCUGUAAAUAUUUACAACUGCCGUAGGCACAAUAUACAUUGCAUUAAUCUCUGAUAAUUCCUGAGAUAAACUGUUUCGAGAUAAACCAAGUGUAAUAAUAUAUUUUCAUAACGUCAGUGUCGACCGUGGAUAUGACUAAACGGCAUUGUUGUAGAUUAAUUAAUAAUUUUAAAAAUUAAAAUUAGGUAGAGUAAGGUCACUGCGGAAUUGGAGUUUAUACAACACAGAGAUGUCACCUCGACAGGACCACAUACGAGAGACGGAACGAGUGUGUCUGCCCACGCAGCCGCGGCCGCCGCCCCCGCCCGCUCCUGGUCGCCUACAGAGACCUCUGCACGACCACCCCGCCAACUAUAUCCUACGACCCGCCAACACGACACGCAAUACCGUCACAAUCACAACGCGCUAAAUAUAUAAUUUGAAAUUUGAAAAUGGAACUCUUCGUUCUAUAAGUCUGGUUUACAUAAAAAAAAGUUUUUAUCGUG